GAGUUUGAUCAUGGCUCAUAUUGAACGCUGGCGGCAGGCCUAACACAUGCAAGUCGAGCGGAAACAAGUUAUCUGAUCCUUCGGGGAACGAUAUCGGCGUCGAGCGGCGGACGGGUGAGUAAUGCCUAGGAAAUUGCCCUGAUGUGGGGGAUAACCAUUGGAAAGGAUGGCUAAUACUCCAUAAUGCCUUCGGGCCACGUAUGGGGACGUUAGGGCCUCUUGAGUCAGGAUAUGCCUAGGUGGGAUUAGCUAGUGCGUGAGGUAGAGGCUCACCAAGGUGACGAUCCGUAGCUGGUCUGAGAGGAUGAUCAGCCACACUGAAUUGAGACACGGUCCAGACUCCUACGGGAGGCAGCAGUGGGGAAUAUCGCACAAUGGGCGCAAGCCUGAUGCAGCCAUGCCGCGCGUGUGAAGAAGGCCUUAGGGUUGUAAAGCACUUUCAGUAGUGAGGAAGGCAGGAUAGUUAAUAGCUGUAUUGUUUGACGUUAGCGACAGAAGAAGCACGGACUAACUCCGUGCCAGCAGCCGCGGUAAUACGGAGGGUGCAAGCGUUAAUCGGAAUUACUGGGCGUAAAGCGCAUGCAGGUGGUUUGUUAAGUCAGAUGUGAAAGCCCGGGGCUCAACCUCGGAAUAGCAUUUGAAACUGGCAGACUAGGGUACUGUAGAGGGGGGUAGAAUUUCAGGUGUAGCGGUGAAAUGCGUAGAGAUCUGAAGGAAUACCGGUGGCGAAGGCGGCCCCCUGGACAGAUACUGACACUCAGAUGCGAAAGCGUGGGGAGCAAACAGGAUUAGAUACCCUGGUAGUCCACGCCGUAAACGAUGUCUACUUGGAGGUUGUGGCCUUGAGCCGUGGCUUUCGGAGCUAACGCGUUAAGUAGACCGCCUGGGGAGUACGGUCGCAUGAUUAAAACUCAAAUGAAUUGACGGGGGCCCGCACAAGCGGUGGAGCAUGUGGUUUAAUUCGAUGCAACGCGAAGAACCUUACCUACUCUUGACAUCCAGAGAAGCCAGCGGAGACGCAGGUGUGCCUUCGGGAGCUCUGAGACAGGUGCUGCAUGGCUGUCGUCAGCUCGUGUUGUGAAAUGUUGGGUUAAGUCCCGCAACGAGCGCAACCCUUAUCCUUGUUUGCCAGCGAGUAAUGUCGGGAACUCCAGGGAGACUGCCGGUGAUAAACCGGAGGAAGGUGGGGACGACGUCAAGUCAUCAUGGCCCUUACGAGUAGGGCUACACACGUGCUACAAUGGCGCAUACAGAGGGCAGCCAACUUGCGAAAGUGAGCGAAUCCCAAAAAGUGCGUCGUAGUCCGGAUUGGAGUCUGCAACUCGACUCCAUGAAGUCGGAAUCGCUAGUAAUCGUGGAUCAGAAUGCCACGGUGAAUACGUUCCCGGGCCUUGUACACACCGCCCGUCACACCAUGGGAGUGGGCUGCAAAAGAAGAAGGUAGUUUAACCUUCGGGAGGACGCUUACCACUUUGUGGUUCAUGGCUGGGGUGAAGUCGUAACAAGGUAACC
rnacentral:rRNA from 1 species